UGAGGAAUAUUGGUCAAUGGGGGCAACCCUGAACCAGCCAAGUCGCGUGAAGGAUGAAGGUCUUAUGGAUUGUAAACUUCUUUUAUACAGGAAUAAAUUGGGGGACGUGUCCCCUUUUGCAUGUACUGUAUGAAUAAGGAUCGGCUAACUCCGUGCCAGCAGCCGCGGUAAUACGGAGGAUCCGAGCGUUAUCCGGAUUUAUUGGGUUUAAAGGGUGCGCAAGCGGGAUGUUAAGUCGGCGGUGAAAUUUUGCAGCUCAACUGUAAAAGUGCCUUCGAUACUGGCUUCCUUGAGUGUAGAUGAAGUAGGCGGAAUUUGUGGUGUAGCGGUGAAAUGCUUAGAUAUCACGAGGAACUCCGAUUGCGCAGGCAGCUUACUAAACUACAACUGACGCUCAUGCACGAAGGCGUGGGGAUCAAACA
rnacentral:rRNA from 1 species